AUUGAACGCUGGCGGAAUGCCUUACACAUGCAAGUCGAGCGGCAGCACGGGGGCAACCCUGGUGGCGAGCGGCGAACGGGUGAGUAAUACAUCGGAACAUGCCCAGUCGUGGGGGAUAACACGUCGAAAGAAGUGCUAAUACCGCAUACGUCCUGAGGGAGAAAGCGGGGGAUCGUCGGACCUCGCGCGCUUGGAGUGGCCGAUGUCAGAUUAGCUAGUUGGUGGGGUAAAGGCCUACCAAGGCAACGAUCUGUAGCUGGUCUGAGAGGAUGAUCAGCCACACUGGGACUGAGACACGGCCCAGACUCCUGCGGGAGGCAGCAGUGGGGAAUUUUGGACAAUGGGGGCAACCCUGAUCCAGCCAUUCCGCGUGAGUGAAGAAGGCCUUCGGGUUGUAAAGCUCUUUCGGCAGGAACGAAACGGCGAGCUCUAACAUAGCUUGCUAAUGACGGUACCUGAGGAAGAAGCACCGGCUAAUUACGUGCCAGCAGCCGCUGUAACAC
rnacentral:rRNA from 1 species